rnacentral:lncRNA from 1 species
GAUUUUAUGGCCCUUAAGUCCCGCUAUAGGAUCAGCCCUUUACGACCCUAUAGUCCCCUAUAGGAUCAGCCCCUUUAUGGCCCUAUAGUCACCCUAUAUGGCAUCUGACCCCAUUAUCUCUCCCCAUAGAUUUAUGGCCCUAUAGUCACCCUAUAGGAUCAGGUCCCGUGUCCCCUUUAAUGGCCCUAAUAGUCCCUAUGGAUAGCCCCUUUAUGACCCUAAUAGUCCCUAUACGGAUCAGCCCCUUUAUGGCCCUAAUAGUCCCCUAUAGGAUCAGCCCCUUUAUGACCCUAUAGUCCCCUAUAGGAUCAGCGCCCUUUAGACCCUAUAGUCCGCCUAUAGAUCAGCCUGCCUUAUAUGACCCUAUAGUCACCCUAUAAUGGCAUCUGGGAAACCCAUUAUCUCUCCCCAUAGAUUUAUGGCCCUAUAGUCACCCUAUAGGAUCAGGUCCCAUGUCCCCUUUAUGGCCCUAUAGUCCCCUAUAGGAUCAGCCCCUUUAUGGCCCUAUAGUCCCCUAUAGGAUCAGCCCCUUUACGACCCUAUAGUCCCGUAUAGGAUCAGCCCCUUUAUGGCCAUAUAGUCCCCUAUAGGAUCAGCCCCUUUAUGGCCCUAUAGUCCCCUAUAGGAUCAGCCCCUUUAUGGCCCUAUAGUCCCCUAUAGGAUCAGCCCCUUUAUGGCCCUAUAGUCAUACUCUAUAGGAUCAAGCCCCUUUAUGGCCCCUAUAGUCCCUAUAGGAUCAGCCCCUUAUGGCCCUAUAGUCCCUAUAGGAUCAGCCCCUUUAUGGCCUAUAGUCCCCUAUAGGAUCAGCCCCUUUACGACCCUAUAGUCCCCUAUAGGAUCAGCCCCUUUAUGGCCCUAUAGUCCCCUAUAGGAUCAGCCCCUUUACGACCCUAUAGUCCCCUAUAGGAUCAGCCCCUUUACGACCCUAUAGUCCCCUAUAGGAUCAGCCCCUUUACAACCCUAUAGUCACCCUAUAGGAUCAGCCCCUUUAUGGCCCUAUAGUCCCCUAUAGGAUCAGCCCCCUGUACGGCCCCUAUAGUCC